UAUCUGCUGCACCGUUGCUUUUUCCUGCGCCGCGAAGAAAGGCACGGUAAUAGAUUUACACUAUGAACGAAGACUUGCGGCGUGAAGGCUUGGCUCUUGUAAAGCUAUCCAGGUCUCAACUCACGAAGCCAACUCAAUGAGCCUAUUUAUUCUUUAGAACGCCUCCGAGGAAAUCAUGUUCCUGGAAGCAAAGCUGUCGACACGUAUGGGCGCUUCCACACAAAACAACACGGGUAACGCUGAACGCAACUGCUGUUGCACAGGCAAGUGACAUGAAACAGUCCAAGCCAUGUUGAUUACAUUUAUUCAUGAAGUACAGCGUGUUCUAGCUUACCUGUUCAAUCUUGUGGAUGGUGCCAAAGAGAAUGGGAUCGCAAUCCCGGUACCAGUAGAUCAGAGCCAUGGCCACCACUCCCAGGAAGCCGGUCGACACCACCAGGAGCACGCUGCCAG